GCAUAUCAAUAAGCGGAGGAAAAGAAACCAACAGGGAUUGCCCUAGUAACGGCGAGUGAAGCGGCAACAGCUCAAAUUUGAAAUCUGGCCUCGGCCCGAGUUGUAAUUUGCAGAGGAUGCUUCUGGCGCGGUGCCUUCCGAGUUCCCUGGAACGGGACGCCACAGAGGGUGAGAGCCCCGUAUGGUCGGACACCAAGCCUGUGUGAAGCUCCUUCGACGAGUCGAGUAGUUUGGGAAUGCUGCUCUAAAUGGGAGGUAAAUCUCUUCUAAAGCUAAAUACCGGCCAGAGACCGAUAGCGCACAAGUAGAGUGAUCGAAAGAUGAAAAGCACCUUGAAAAGGGGGUUAAAUAGUACGUGAAAUUGUUGAAAGGGAAGCACUUGUGACCAGACUUGGGCCGGGCGGCUCAUCAGGGGUUCUCCCCUGUGCACUCCGCCCGGCACAGGCCAGCAUCGGUUCUCGUGGGGGGAUAAGACCGUCAGGAACGUAGCACCCUCCGGGGUGUGUUAUAGCCUGGCGGACGAUACCCCCGUGGGGACCGAGGUUCGCGCUCCGCAAGGAUGCUGGCGUAAUGGUCACCAGUGACCCGUCUUGAAACACGGACC
rnacentral:rRNA from 1 species